rfam:Oryza glumipatula chromosome 1, whole genome shotgun sequence.
AUUAAGUACAGUUAUGGUUUCAGUGCCGAUCUUUAACCACUCAUUUUAUUUAAAAUAUUUUUACGAUUAGUAUUUUUAUUGUUAUUAGAUGAUAAAAUAUGAAUAGUACUUUUAUACUUGACUUAACUUUAAAAUAUUUUUUAUAAAUUUUUUAAAUAAGAUGGACAGUAAAACGUUGGACACGAAAACUUACUGUUGAACAUAAU